rnacentral:rRNA from 1 species
GAUGAACGCUGGCGGCGUGCCUAAUACAUGCAAGUCGAGCGAACAGACGCGGCGCUUGCUCCUCUGACGUUAGCCGAGGACGGGAGUGUAACACGUGGAUCACCUACUUAUCUGACUGGGAUAACUUCGGGAAACCGGCGCUAAUACCAGAUAAUAUCUUGAACCGUAUGGUUCAAUAGUGAGAGACGGCUUUGCUGUCUGUUCUAGCUGGAUAUGCGCCGCAUUAGCUAGUUGGUAAGGUAACGGCUUACCAAGGGAACGAUGCGUAGCAGAACUGAGAGGGUGAUCGGCCACACUGGAACGGAGACACGGUCCAUAGUCCUACGGGAGGGAGCAGUAGGGUAUCGUCCGCAAUGGGCGAAAGCCUUGCGGAGCAACGCGGAGCGUGAUGUAGAGGUCUUGGGAGCGUAAUACUCUGUUAUUAGUUAUGAACAAAUGUGUAAGGAACUGUACACGUCUUGACGGUACCUAAUCAGAAAGCCACGGCUAACUACGUG